rnacentral:rRNA from 1 species
UACAGAGGGUGCAAGCGUUAAUCGGAUUUACUGGGCGUAAAGGGCGCGUAGGCGGUUAUAUGAGUGUGAUGUGAAAGCCCCGGGCUCAACCUGGGAAGUGCAUCGCAAACGAUAUAACUGGAGUAGGUGAGAGGGUGGCGGAAUUUCCGGUGUAGCGGUGAAAUGCGUAGAGAUCGGAAGGAACGUCAAUGGCGAAGGCAGCCACCUGGCACCAUACUGACGCUGAGGCGCGAAAGCGUGGGGAGCGAAC